rnacentral:lncRNA from 1 species
CGAGCAGUUUUUAUAUAUUAUAAUAAUUCAUUGUCGUCAAUGUGUUUGUUAUCUUUUUUUAUUUCUGAGUUUUCAUCUAGAAGGCAGAGGUCCCACAUCUUACUGUAGCAUAAUAAAUAUAUAUAAAUCCUUCUUUACAUAAUUUAAAAAAUGUUCAAACUGGUAUUUGGCCUUACCUCAGAUAUUCAUAUAUCAGUACUAAAUUGAUGGAACGAAAAUAAAAUGUUCAUGUAUGGCUAUUCCAUCAAAACAAAAGGCAUCAUAUGCACAACUUAAAAGGUCUUUACAAGAUCUACUCAUCCCGG